GGGAAAUUGUUGAUUUUCAAGGAAUCAAACCAUUAAAGGUGGUGAGUAUUCUAGCAAGAGUAAAGAGGUAGUAUCCGAGGAUCAAGCAUCAGAGUAUCACGAAUUCGAUUCCCAUUACAAUUGGUCACUGCAAUGGCGGGUUCUGUGGACCAACCUAUUAGAGGGGCACGAAAUCUGGGUAUAUUCUUCCUCGAUCAAAGAGGCGCGUAGGGUAACUCCUGAGGUAAAACUUUAGAGUUUACCUCACGUUGAACCACCACGU